rnacentral:rRNA from 1 species
AUUGAACGCUGGCGGCAGGCCUAACACAUGCAAGUCGAACGAGUGGCGAACGGGUGAGUAAUGUCUGGGAAACUGCCUGAUGGAGGGGGUUAACUACUGGAAACGGUAGCUAAUACCGCAUACCAUCAGAUGUGCCCAGAUGGGAUUAGCUUGUUGGUGGGGUACGGGGUCACCAAGGCGACGAUCCCUUGCUGGUCUGAGAGGAUGACCAGGCACAAUGGAACUGAGAAACGGGCCAGACGCCUACGGGAGGCAGCAGUGGGGAAUAUUGCACAAUGGGCGCAAGCCUGAUGCAGCCAUGCCGCGUGUAUGAAGAGGGCCUGCGGGUUGUAAAGUACUUUCAGCGGGGAGGCGUUACCCGCAGAAGAAGCACCGGCUAACUCCGUGCCAGCAGCCGCGGUAAUAC